rnacentral:rRNA from 1 species
GAUGAACGCUGGCGGCGUGCCUAAUACAUGCAAGUCGAGCGAACGGACGAGAAGCUUGCUUCUCUGAUGUUAGCGGCGGACGGGUGAGUAACACGUGGAUAACCUACCUAUAAGACUGGGAUAACUUCGGGAAACCGGAGCUAAUACCGGAUAAUAUUUUGAACCGCAUGGUUCAAAAGUGAAAGACGGUCUUGCUGUCACUUAUAGCUGGAUCCGCGCUGCAUUAGCUAGUUGGUAAGGUAACGGCUUACCAAGGCAACGAUGCAUAGCCGACCUGAGAGGGUGAUCAGCCACACUGGAACUGAGACACGGUCCAGACUCCUACGGGAGGCAGCAGUAGGGAAUCUUCCGCAAUGGGCGAAAGCCUGACGGAGCAACGCCGCGUGAGUGAUGAAGGUCUUCGGAUCGUAAAACUCUGUUAUUAGGGAAGAACAUAUGUGUAAGUAACUGUGCACAUCUUGACGGUACCUAAUCAGAAAGCCACGGCUAACUACGUG